rnacentral:rRNA from 1 species
UACGGGGGGGGGCAAGCGUUGUUCGGAAUUACUGGGCGUAAAGGGCUCGUAGGCGGCCAACUAAGUCAGACGUGAAAUCCCUCGGCUUAACCGGGGAACUGCGUCUGAUACUGGAUGGCUUGAGUACGGGAGAGGGUCGCGGAAUUCCCGGUGUAGAGGUGAAAUUCGUAGAUAUCGGGAGGAACACCAGUGGCGAAGGCGGCGACCUGGACCGAUACUGACGCUGAGGUGCGAAAGCGUGGGGAGCAAACAGG